rnacentral:rRNA from 1 species
GUGUCAGCCGCCGCGGUAAUACGAAGGGGGCGAGCGUUGUUCGGAUUUACUGGGCGUAAAGGGCGCGUAGGCGGCCUUGUCAGUCAGGCGUGAAAGCCCCGGGCUCAACCUGGGAACGGCGCUUGGGACGGCGAGGCUGGAGUUCGGGAGAGGAGAGUGGAAUUCCCAGUGUAGAGGUGAAAUUCGUAGAUAUUGGGAAGAACACCGGUGGCGAAGGCGGCUCUCUGGACCGACACUGACGCUGAGGCGCGAAAGCGUGGGGAGCAAACAGGAUUAGAUACCCCCGUAGUCC